UACGUAGGUGGCAAGCGUUGUCCGGAUUUACUGGGCGUAAAGAGCGCGCAGGCGGUCGUUCAAGUCGCGUGUGAAAGCCCCCGGCUCAACUGGGGAGGGUCACGCGAUACUGAUCGACUGGAAGGCAGGAGAGGGAAGCGGAAUUCCCGGUGUAGUGGUGAAAUGCGUAGAUAUCGGGAGGAACACCAGUGGCGAAGGCGGCUUCCUGGCCUGUUCUUGACGCUGAGGCGCGAAAUCGUGGGGAGCGAACAGG
rnacentral:rRNA from 1 species